rnacentral:rRNA from 1 species
GAUGAACGCUAGCGAUAGGCUUAACACAUGCAAGUCGAGGGGCAGCACAAGGUAGCUUGCUAUCUGGGUGGCGACCGGCGCACGGGUGCGUAACGCGUGUGCAACUUGCCCUAUACAGGAGGAUAACCCGUCGAAAGACGGACUAAUACUGCGUAUGCUCACAACUUGGCAUCAAGUGGUGAGGAAAGAAAUUCGGUAUAGGAUAGGCAUGCGUCCCAUUAGCUUGUUGGUGAGGUAACGGCUCACCAAGGCAACGAUGGGUAGGGGAACUGAGAGGUUUAUCCCCCACACUGGUACUGAGACACGGACCAGACUCCUACGGGAGGCAGCAGUGAGGAAUAUUGGUCAAUGGGCGCGAGCCUGAACCAGCCAAGUCGCGUGAAGGAUGACUGUCUUAUGGAUUGUAAACUUCUUUUAGACGGGAAUAACAAGAGUCACGUGUGACUCCCUGCAUGUACCGUAUGAAUAAGCAUCGGCUAACUCCGUG